UUCUCGACGAUUUGACGACA
rnacentral:misc_RNA from 1 species